UGCCUUUGCCUUGGAACGUCCAGGCUGCC
rnacentral:piRNA from 1 species